rnacentral:rRNA from 1 species
CCUACGGGAGGCAGCAGUGAGGAAUAUUGGUCAAUGGAGGAGAGUCUGAACCAGCCAAGUAGCGUGAAGGAUGACUGCCCUAUGGGUUGUAAACUUCUUUUAUAUGGGAAUAAAAUGUUCCACGUGUGGGAUUUUGUAUGUACCAUAUGAAUAAGGAUCGGCUAACUCCGUGCCAGCAGCCGCGGUAAUACGGAGGAUCCGAGCGUUAUCCGGAUUUAUUGGGUUUAAAGGGAGCGUAGGUGGAUUGUUAAGUCAGUUGUGAAAGUUUGCGGCUCAACCGUAAAAUUGCAGUUGAAACUGGCAGUCUUGAGUACAGUAGAGGUGGGCGGAAUUCGUGGUGUAGCGGUGAAAUGCUUAGAUAUCACGAAGAACUCCGAUUGCGAAGGCAGUUCACUGGACUGCAACUGACACUGAGGCUCGAAAGUGUGGGUAUCAAACAGGAUUAGAUACCCCUGUAGUC